AUGGGAUGCGGGGGAGAGACUGCUCAAAUGCAGACACCGAAGGGGCAAGCCGGCGUAAAAGGCUAAUUGCGCUGGCGAAACUCUCAGGUCACAAGACCCCGCAUACCGG
rnacentral:ncRNA from 2 species